GGGGUCGUUACGGAUUCGACAGGCAUUAUGAGGUAUAUUCUGCGACUCAUCGGCAGAUGUAAAAAUGCCAGUUAAAUAUAACUGCAAAAAAUACAAAUUCUUACGCUGUAGCUGCCUAAAAACCAGCUCGCGUGAUCUCUACAAGAUUGCUUGAGUUUUGCUAGAGGUUUCAUUGUUAUCAAGCUACGUUUGGCUAUUGUCUAACUAGUCAAAAAGAGAUUUUUUAGACUCGCUUGAGUGAGGUUUGAGUUAUGUAUCGCGCUUAAGUUAAAUGAAAGACAUAACCUAUGGUUGUAGACGAAUAUAUUGGCAGGUGUUUGGACGUGGGUUCGACUCCCACCGGCUCCAUUC
rnacentral:tmRNA from 4 species